rnacentral:rRNA from 1 species
AUGAGAGACCAAAAUGCAUACUUGAUGUACACCUACACUAAAUUAAGCUGCCAAAUAAUGGAAAGUAUCACCCCCAAGAAACCUGGGUUGCCAAAUGUGCACCAAUUCUUCAUCAAUGUUGAAGCAGUUGGCAAUGCGAAUGUUUUCGAGGGGAAGCAUGGCUUCACAUACACUGCUGGUGCCAAGGUGGCCUCCAUCAACAAGAAUAUCGGGCUUAGCCAAAAAUUCACCUUGGGCACUACAGUGGUCAAUGAGAAGGUCAAGGGGAUGGAUCAGAAGUUCCAGGUCUUCAACAAGACCAACAUGAAGAACAUGUACGUCCUCACAAGUGUGUCAUGGGCAACCAACAUGGUUAGCAAGGCUGCCACCAACGUCAACACAGUGACAAAGGAGAGGAUGUCGGCCAAGGACUAG